UACGUAGGGGGCAAGCGUUGUCCGGAAUCAUUGGGCGUAAAGAGCGCGUAGGCGGCCCUGUAAGUCCGCUGUGAAAGUCAAGGGCUCAACCCUUGAAUGCCGGUGGAUACUGCAGGCUAGAGUCCGGAAGAGGCGAGUGGAAUUCCUGGUGGUAGCGGUGAAAUGCGCAGAUAUCAAGGAGGAACACCGAUGGCGAAGGCAG
rnacentral:rRNA from 1 species